CCGGAGACAUACCCUUCCCCUAAUGAAGCUCCAGCCUGAGCUUGGGCAUGUUAGCAGCUGCAUGUACUACCUUCAUUCCUUAAUAUAGGACGCUUUGUUCGCCAAUACGUCCUAUAUCAUGGAAUAGAGGUAAUUUUUUUCGUGAGCGGGCGGUCAGAAGCUCGCUGUGGCCCAAGACUGGUGGAGGGGAGGUGUGGAAGGUAAUAUGGUGGUCACAUUCGUGAGGUGCGGCUAUCGGUCUCCAUGGGGAGCUGCUGUUGGCGACCACCUGGACCACCUCCCUUAGCUACUGCCGGCGGUGAUGUCCUCGACCUCCUGCUGCUGGACAACAUUACUUGUCACAAUAUGAUGCCUGGCCAACAAUCUGCUGCAUGAUGCAGCUAUCCUUGGCAGCGGCUAUUGGUCCCUGCGAGCUAUGUACUGGAGCCUCUUAUUUCUAGCUCUGUGGCGCUCUCGCAGCUGGCACGGGUUCAAUUGGUUCGGAUGUGCCCCUGGAGCUGCCACCGGUCUCCCUCAUCGAUGGCACGUUCGUACAUAUGUGGUGUUUAUUUCUCCAGACCUGAGACCCUGUCGAGCAUGUGAAGGUGGAUCUAGCAUCGUCAUAGGCGUACCUGCAUGCUGCUGGGCAUGUGGCCUCCUGCUAGUAGAUGGUCAGCUCCCGCGCAGCCAGUGUGUUGUAUUCGCCUCCUUUGCAGUAAUAGCGCACUUACUGGCGCUGUCUUCGAAGAAGAAAGUUUGAGCGGGAAGAGCUGCGUUGUGUGCUCACGGGUGGUGAACAUGCCAGAAACCCUGCUACCGCGGCCUGGGCCGAGAGUCAUGCGAGUAUCCCCUGCCCUGACCUAGCCGAUGACCCAAGCCUGAUGCUACGGCCAUGUAUGUCUUCAUUGAGUGUGAUUCUGCCAUAGUGAGGGUAAGGAGUUAGGGAAGCUGGAACCAAUAGCCAUACUACUUGGAAGCUGGAUGACCCAGGGACGUCUGUGACAUGUCUUGGUCUCGCCAUCGUGCUAGUUGGUUCUCCUUUUUUGCUGAUAUCAUCAAUUGCGCGAUGGGCAAGGAGGAGGCAAGAUGGGACCAGUAGCUGCACUACUUCAAAUACGGAGGACCCAGGACCCAGGGACAAUCGACACAGGAUCCAUGCCUUUGUUUCGCCAUCUACCUUUUCUGAUUCUACGUACCUAGCUGAGUUGAUGAUCAACAGUUGCACAAUGGCCUUGGUGUUGAAAAUCGAUGGCAUUCCUCUACGUCUCCGUGUUUUGGGUCUGCGCUUGGUGUGGUGCAAAGGUUGGGCGAGGACUACAUGGCUUUGCAUGACUCCCAUGUUGAUCGUUGACCAGAGGUUGGGCGAGGAUGACAUGGCUCUACCGUUGACUGUUGAACGCAGCUAUGUGUUUAGUUCUGCUAGCCUUCGGAUGCUUACG